rnacentral:rRNA from 1 species
GUAGGGAAUAUUGGGCAAUGGUCGGAAGACUGACCCAGCCAUGCCGCGUGCAGGAAGACGGCCCUCUGGGUUGUAAACUGCUUUUAUCUGGGAAGAAAAAGGCCAUGCGUGGCAAAUUGCCGGUACCAGAUGAAUAAGCACCGGCUAACUCCGUGCCAGCAGCCGCGGUAAUACGGAGGGUGCGAGCGUUGUCCGGAUUUAUUGGGUUUAAAGGGUGCGUAGGCGGCUGAUUAAGUCAGUGGUGAAAGACUUCGGCUUAACCGGAGCAGUGCCGUUGAUACUGGUUGGCUUGAGUGUCGGAGGGGUACAUGGAAUUGAUGGUGUAGCGGUGAAAUGCAUAGAUACCAUCAGGAACACCGAUAGCGAAGGCAUUGUACUGGCCGACAACUGACGCUGAUGCACGAAAGUGUGGGGAUCGAACAGGAUUAGAAACCCCGGUAGUCC